UAUGUAUAUUUGGUCUUCUUCUUGCUGGGGCAGAUAGGAAAAAACAGAGAGCAAAAAAAGGGAAAAAAUUGCAGACCCUGUGUAGCUUUGUGCGAAGAGAGUCCCGUGAGUAUUGAGAGCCAUUCUUUCUUGUUUUCUUUGUGUUCUUAACAUGGGUUUGACAGAGAUCUCUGUGGAGAUUGAAGAGUGAAUGGAUGUAUUGGGAUCUUGGGUAUUGGUUUGGGUAUUCUUGUGUGAAUCCACCAUUGAUGGUCUGUUAUUAAGCUUAUAAACACCAUUUUUCUAUAGUGCAGAAGCUCAACACUUGAGCAACGAGGACGUAGGUCAAUUUGGCCGAAUCUCGUGUUUCAGGUACGCCGGCAUGUCUUGGUAAUAUUGAGUUAGAGAUCUCCUUGGCUAUUAGAGUAUGAAUAAACAAGACAAUAUUGUUGACUAAUUUAAAGUAUUCUCACCUCCAUGGGAUUGAGAGUUGCAAUAUUUAUUCAGUACUGGUAAAUUUGGAGAUCAUACCGUACUUGAGGAUAUAUUAAAGAGUCAUACUUUUUUGCCAUUACUUCGUUGUACCAUACAGUUCAUCACUUAGGAGGUUUCAUCUCGGGCGUACAAUUUGUAAACCCAAAGCCUCUUACCUUUAAUGAUCCCCAUGUUUAGCAGAUGGGGAACUUUGUUCGCACGUUCACUUUAGCAUUACCAUCGUGAAUAUUCAUUGGUUAAAGGAGAUUAAACAAACACCACUUUACGACUGUAGCAUGUGAAUUCAAGAUUGGUUCUUUUUUCCAAUUGAAAAGUAAAAGAAAAAAGUGCUUUUGCUUCAUGCUGACAAGGAACAGUAGAGUUAUGACCCAUGAACUUGCAGUUGUUUUCCUUGUGGAGUCCCAGGUGAGUUACUGGAAGUUCCAAAUUCUAAAUUUCAUGGCAGCUGGACAUAUGUUGGUCUACACGAGGCUCAAAUACGUACAUAGAUAAUAAGCAGAAUCCAACAUCAGUAAGAAAAACUGUAUCACUUCUAUUGGUAUUUUGGCUGUCAAGGAUGCACCUAAUUUAAAGUGGAUUUACUUUAGAAAAAGAGGAUUUCUAAUUUUUAUUUGAAAAAAUUUGAUGAGUCUCAAAUUCUUAAAUAUUUAAGCAGAAUCCUAUUAAGAAAGCAAAACUGUGUUGCUUGUGCUAGCGUUUGGGCUGUUAAGAUGCACAUGCACUGCAGUGCGUCUUUAACAGCUAAAAAUUCACUGUGUCAAGAUUUGGAACGGGAUGAAUACUGUACUGUUCAUAUUCUUUGUCAAGUUAUGAAUAUUUUGGCUGCGUUUCCUUUUAAAUUCAUUCUAGUUACAGCAGAAUUUGUCAAAGUUACAACUUUGACUUUUCAUUUUUAUCGAGGUUUAACAUUUUUGCCAUUAGUCCGUUGUACCUCGGGAAAUCAGCAGGUUUCCAUUGAUAGAAAUUGGCAGCCAAUUCCUGGUUUUAGAAAUAUGUUAGGAGCUUAUUGAAGUAAUUAUCUUUGCUAAUUAAAGUAAUUUGAUGUGAUGGCCAUUUUGGAGUUGUUAACAUAAUGUGUUCACUGAGGUAUAUACAUGAGCUUCAAAUUGUAAGCUUACUUGGAAGCUCUUGGAAUGCAUCUAUACAAAAUAAUAGCUGCCUUUAUAUUAGAUUUUUCUAUUCUAUCUUUGUUAUAUUUUGGUGAUACGUUUUACGAUCCCCUGAAGAUUAGUCACUAUUUGUGAUCAUGUUGAUAGAAAAAAAUGUGUUGUGACUUUCGAAUUGAAUAAUUGGAAACAGAGGAAAAAUAAGCGUUUUCAAUUUUAUGGGAAAUAUGUGUUUUAUUUUGUUGCCUUCUAGGAAAAUUAAAAGAUUAUGGACCAUUUUAGAGGUGUAAAGCAAGUGGUUCAUGUAAUUGUAGAUCGAGAGUUUGAGCUAAGGGUGAUUUAUCAAUCCAUCCAUUCAUCUGUAUUAGAUAGGUUACCCUUGUAAAGAUAGUAAAUAUAGCCAUUGCUGCUAAUUGAAAGGAAUAGGAUAUGGUUUUGAAUUUGAACAACUGGGAACAGAGGAAAAAUUGAGUGUUUUAUGGGAAAUAUCUGUUUUAUGUUAUGGUUUAUUUGGAGGUAAAAAAAGGGAAAAAGGGACUUUUCUUGAGAUGGAAGCAAGUGGUUCUUGUAAUUAUGGGUACUUCAAUUGCUCAUCCAAUCGAUUAUCAUUCAUGUUCUAUUAGAGUGGUUCUAUUAACAUGUUUCUUUCUUUCCGGUUUGUAUUUAAUUAUAUUAAUUCUAGUUAUAAAAUGGGGAUAGGAUAGGGAAACUAUAUAUAUUACACAGAGUUAAAAGUUUAGAUAAUGUACCAAAAUCAAUGUCCAAGUCAAUAUAGAGUUUGUGAAACUAAAUUUUUUUAUUUGCAAGCAUUCUGCAGUCUUCUCUGGUUCCAAUCUUCAGGUAAAAGGGCUACGCACGUUGUAACACCCCGUCCCGAACCAUGUCGGAAAUUUUUGCACGUUGACCGAGUUGACCGUUGACCGAAGGGGUCAAAAGUUGACUUUUUGUUCCGGUUGGAAUUCUAGGUUGACUGAGGUACCGUUACGAAAUACACGUUGGCACGAGUUCGUAGACUGGUAGCACGUUGAAAUCGGAGCUACGGUUUGAAAGUUUUGAGCAAAACGAGUUGAGGUCCAAACUGUCUAAGGGGUGCCGGAGUUGACUUUUUAUUCAUGCAAGGUUGAGCUUUGACUCAUGUAUGGUUGUGAAGUGCUCAUCGAUACGAGUCCGUAGACUAGCGGCACGUCCGAUUUGGACAUGUGGUUUGAAAGUUAUGGACCUGUAAAGUUUUUCAAAUACCGUAUUAUUUUAAUAUUAUUUUUUUUAAACACAUAACGAAGUGCCACGUGUGAGUUAAUGAAGGUGACCAUGUAUCACCAUGGUGAAAUGCCACAUGUCAACCAUGUGUAAAAAUCAAAUUUGUUUUAUUAUUAUUUUAAAUAAUAAUAUUAUUAUUAAUAUUAUUUAAUCA